rnacentral:rRNA from 1 species
GAGUUUGAUCAUGGCUCAGGAUGAACGCUGGCGGCGUGCCUAAUACAUGCAAGUCGAACGAACAGAUAAGGAGCUUGCUCCUUUGACGUUAGCGGCGGACGGGUGAGUAACACGUGGGUAACCUACCUAUAAGACUGGAAUAACUCCGGGAAACCGGGGCUAAUGCCGGAUAACAUGUUGAACCGCAUGGUUCUACAGUGAAAGACGGUCUUGCUGUCACUUAUAGAUGGACCCGCGCCGUAUUAGCUAGUUGGUGGGGUAACGGCCUACCAAGGCGACGAUACGUAGCCGACCUGAGAGGGUGAUCGGCCACACUGGAACUGAGACACGGUCCAGACUCCUACGGGAGGCAGCAGUAGGGAAUCUUCCGCAAUGGGCGAAAGCCUGACGGAGCAACGCCGCGUGAGUGAUGAAGGUCUUCGGAUCGUAAAGCUCUGUUGUUAGGGAAGAACAAAUGUGUAAGUAACUGUGCAUAUCUUGACGGUACCUAACCAGAAAGCCACGGCUAACUACGUGCCAGCCGCCG